rnacentral:rRNA from 1 species
CGACUGUUUACCAAAAACAUAGGUUUCUGCUAAGUCGCAAGACGAUGUAUAGGAGCUGACGCCUGCCCGGUGCUGGAAGGUUAAGGGGAUCUGUUAGAGCAAUCGAAGCAGUGAACUUAAGCCCCAGGAAACGGCGGCCGUAACUAUAACGGUCCUAAGGUAGCGAAAUUCCUUGUCGGGUAAGUUCCGACCCGCACGAAAGGCGUAACGAUUUGGGCACUGUCUCA